rnacentral:lncRNA from 1 species
AGGGUAACCAACGCUCCCUCUUAAAGGCGCCGGCCCCGGUUUUAGACCGGGAGAGGGAAGACCUACAUCUCCAGUCUUAACAUCCAACCUCCUUAGCAGUUAGUCGCAUCAGAAAGAAAGCAAGCUGAAGAAUGUCUCACCAGACCCACGUGGAUCCUGCGUUCAUCUCUGAACUAACCAUUGUAACUAUGGGAUGGAAUGCACACUGCCAGGCUGGGGUUAUUUGCCUUUAUCUACAAAAAGGUCAAGGGAAAUAAUUUCUCAGGAUCAGAAGAAUGAGAAUGCUGAUGGGUCAUGGAGGUGCUAGUAAUUGAGCCAACCAGCCACAUCCUUUGGCCUCGGAGCCACUGAGAAGAUCCUGAGUGACAUUUGUGACAUUUCACAAACCACCUGCAAACAAACAAUAUAUAAACCAUGAUUGUAUUCAAUUAUUUUUUCCCUAAAUUAUAAACCUGCCUCCAUGUACCUCAAGCCCACAUUCA